CCUACGGGAGGCAGCAGUAGGGAAUCUUCCGCAAUGGACGAAAGUCUGACGGAGCAACGCCGCGUGAACGAUGAAGGCCUUCGGGUCGUAAAGUUCUGUUGUUAGGGAAGAACAAGUGCUAGUUGAAUAAGCUGGCACCUUGACGGUACCUAACCAGAAAGCCACGGCUAACUACGUGCCAGCAGCCGCGGUAAUACGUAGGUGGCAAGCGUUGUCCGGAAUUAUUGGGCGUAAAGCGCGCGCAGGCGGUUUCUUAAGUCUGAUGUGAAAGCCCCCGGCUCAACCGGGGAGGGUCAUUGGAAACUGGGAAACUUGAGUGCAGAAGAGGAAAGUGGAAUUCCAAGUGUAGCGGUGAAAUGCGUAGAGAUUUGGAGGAACACCAGUGGCGAGGGCGACUUUCUGGUCUGUAACUGACGCUGAGGCGCGAAAGCGUGGGGAGCAAACAGGAUUAGAUACCCUGGUAGUCCACGCUGUAAACGAUGAGUGCUAAGUGUUAGAGGGUUUCCGCCCUUUAGUGCUGAAGUUAACGCAUUAAGCACUCCGCCUGGGGAGUACGGUCGCAAGACUGAAACUUAAAUGAAUUGACGG
rnacentral:rRNA from 1 species